rnacentral:rRNA from 1 species
AUACGUAGGGGACAAGCGUUAUCCGGAUUUACUGGGCGUAAAGGGCGUGUAGGCGGUCUUGCAAGUCAGAAGUGAAAUUCCUGAGCUCAACUCGGGCGCUGCUUCUGAAACUGCAGGACUUGAGUGCUGGAGAGGUAAGUGGAAUUCCCAGUGUAGCGGUGAAAUGCGUAGAGAUUGGGAGGAACGCCAGUGGCGAAGGCGACUUACUGGACUGUAACUGACGCUGAGGCGCGAAAGUGUGGGGAGCAAACAGGAUUAGAUACCCUGGUAGUCCACACUGUAAACGAUGAAUGCUAGGUGUAGGGGGUAUCGACCCCUUCUGUGCCGCAGUCAACACAAUAAGCAUUCCGCCUGGGGUGUACGGCCGCAAGGUUGAAACUCAAAUGAAUUGACGGGG